GCUUACGGCCAAACCAGCCUGGGUACCCCCUUAUCUCGUCUGAUCUCGGAAGCUAAGCAGCGUCGGGCCUGGUUAGUACUUGGAUCGGAGACUGCCUGGGAAUACCAGGUGCUGUAACCA
rnacentral:rRNA from 1 species